rnacentral:rRNA from 1 species
GAUCCUGGCUCAGAUUGAACGCUGGCGGCAUGCCUUACACAUGCAAGUCGAACGGCAGCACGGGUGCUUGCACCUGGUGGCGAGUGGCGAACGGGUGAGUAAUAUAUCGGAACGUACCUUAUCGUGGGGGAUAACGCAGCGAAAGCUGCGCUAAUACCGCAUACGCCCUGAGGGGGAAAGCGGGGGACCGCAAGGCCUCGCGCGAUUAGAGCGGCCGAUAUCUGAUUAGCUUGUUGGUGGGGUAAAAGCCCACCAAGGCGACGAUCAGUAGCUGGUCUGAGAGGACGAUCAGCCACACUGGGACUGAGACACGGCCCAGACUCCUACGGGAGGCAGCAGUGGGGAAUAUUGGACAAUGGGCGAAAGCCUGAUCCAGCAAUGCCGCGUGAGUGAUGAAGGCCUUAGGGUUGUAAAGCUCUUUUACCAGGGAUGAUAAUGACAGUACCUGGAGAAUAAGCUCCGGCUAACUCCGUG